rnacentral:lncRNA from 1 species
AGCUCGAUGAAAACAUCUACAUGGAGCAGCCUGAAGGAUACAAAGUUCCAGGAAAAGCACAAGGUAAUCUGUGGCUUGAGACAGUGGUAGAAAAAGCUUGAUGAUUUUCUCAAGAGAAAAUCAAGAGAGUGGGAGCAGAUGCAAUCUACAUCACUGUCUAUGUGCAUGAUUCUUUUCUUGCAUGCAACAGCCAGCAGUUUGAUGUAGGUUACUUCUUACAUGCUACUUCCAUUUUUGGCCUUCUUUAUACGGUUCUUACUGGACAGGGUGUCCAGACUCUCACACACUGGCUAUUUCUUUAGCCUUCAUGAACAAGAAACAGAGUGUGGUUGCUUGUUCGAGCUGUGAAGUAUCUUGCUGCCAAUGCGGCCUGCAAAGGAGCUAUAUGGCUACACCUUCUCACUAAUUGGGGUACUCUCCUCCAGGUCCUGCACAUAUUUAUUGUGACAAUCAAGGCAGCAUUGCAGCAAAAUUCGUAAGAUUUCAUCGUGAAACAUGGCACAUCAGUUUCUUCGUGAUCAGUAUGAAAAUGGCAUCAUUGAGCUGGUAUAUUGUCCCACGCAGGACAUACCCUUACCAAACCUUUAUCUGCGCCGAAGUUGUCCUCAGCUCUCAGUGUCAGCUCGAGUGGGAGUAUUAGGAUAUCUGGCAUUGAUAUCAAAUACCAUGUGCCCUGGGAGACACGUUCGUCUUUCAUGUUGUUCAAAAUUCAAUUGAAUCACAAUUGGAACCACAACAUCCCCCGAUUCUGCCGCAUCCGCGCAAUGUUAUGGCGAAUGGAUUCCUCCAGGAAGAGUGAUAUUUCAAUAUCAAAUAAAUUGGUUGUUUUAUCAAAGAAAACUUCUUACCUUUUCU